rnacentral:rRNA from 1 species
UACGUAGGGGCCGAGCGUUGUCCGGAAUCAUUGGGCGUAAAGCGCGUGUAGGCGGUUCGGUAAGUCCGCUGUGAAAGUCGGGGGCUCAACCCUCGGAUGCCGGUGGAUACUGUCGGACUAGAGUACGGAAGAGGCGAGUGGAAUUCCUGGUGUAGCGGUGAAAUGCGCAGAUAUCAGGAGGAACACCGAUUGCGAAGGCAGCUCGCUGGGACGUUACUGACGCUGAGACGCGAAAGCGUGGGGAGCAAACAGG